rnacentral:rRNA from 1 species
GACGAACGCUGGCGGCGUGCUUAACACAUGCAAGUCGAACGGAAAGGCCCUGCGUUUGUGGGGUGCUCGAGUGGCGAACGGGUGAGUAACACGUGAGUAACCUGCCCUUGACUUUGGGAUAACUUCAGGAAACUGGGGCUAAUACCGGAUAGGAGCUCCUGCUGCAUGGUGGGGGUUGGAAAGUUUCGGCAGUUGGGGAUGGACUCGCGGCUUAUCAGCUGGGUGGUGAGGUAGUGGCGUACCAAGGCUUUGACGGGUAGCCGGCCUGAGAGGGGGAUCGGCCACACUGGAACGGAGACACGGUCCAGACUCAUACGGGAGGGAGCAGUAGGGAAUCUGCCGCAGUGGGCGGGAGCCUGACGGAGCGACGCCGCGUGAGUGAUGAAGGGCUUCGGAGCGGAAAACUCUGUUAGUAGGGAAGAACAAAUGUGGAAGUAACUAUGCACGUCUUGACGGUACCUAAUCAGAAAGCCACGGCUAACUACGUG